AACUUGUUACAAUGUAUCACUUGGCUCUCACAUCGAUUAAGAACGCAGCGAAAUGCGAUAAGUAAUGUGAAUUGCAGAAUUCAGUGAAUCAUCGAAUCUUUGAACGCACCUUGCACCUUUUGGUAUUCCGAAAGGUAUGCCUGUUUGAGUGUCUUGAAACCUCACACUCUAGAGUUUUCUCUAGAGACGUGGAUUUGGGUGUUGCAAUUUGCUCACCUUGAAUGACUUAGUGGUUCCUACCGUAGCCUGAUGUAAUAAGUUUCAUCUAGUCAAGGGAAGACUGCUUCUAAUCGCCUUACGGCACUAUUUAAGACUAGACCUCAAAUCAGGUAGGACUACCCGCUGAACUUAAGCAUAUCAAUAAGCGGAGGC
rnacentral:misc_RNA from 1 species